rnacentral:rRNA from 1 species
GGCGUGCUUAACACAUGCAAGUCGAGCGGUAAGGCCUUUCGGGGUACACGAGCGGCGAACGGGUGAGUAACACGUGGGUGAUCUGCCCUGCACUUCGGGAUAAGCCUGGGAAACUGGGUCUAAUACCGGAUAUGACCUCCUAUCGCAUGGUGGGUGGUGGAAAGAUUUAUCGGUGCAGGAUGGGCCCGCGGCCUAUCAGCUUGUUGGUGGGGUAAUGGCCUACCAAGGCGACGACGGGUAGCCGACCUGAGAGGGUGACCGGCCACACUGGGACUGAGACACGGCCCAGACUCCUACGGGAGGCAGCAGUGGGGAAUAUUGCACAAUGGGCGAAAGCCUGAUGCAGCGACGCCGCGUGAGGGAUGACGGCCUUCGGGUUGUAAACCUCUUUCAGCAGGGACGAAGCGCAAGUGACGGUACCUGCAGAAGAAGC